UUACUGAUCAGGGCCCAGAGGGAGGUGGGAAGAUAUGCAGGGCUUCACGGUUGCCAAGAGGAUGAAAGUCACAAGUGGGCGUGGCAGGGCUUUGUUCCUUCUGAAGCUCAGGACAAAGCACUGGGCUUCCCUCCUGCCUGGGAGCCUUCAGGACGGCAUGGAGUUUGGCCACGUGGUGGGAGCGCCCUGAGUGCGUGGCACAGAGUGUUCAACUGGUCACCUCUCCUGAGCCUCACAGCCUCUCAAGGAAGAUCUGAGGAGGAAACUGAGGCCCACCCCCACCCAGACUGAGGGGAAGGACUCACUGCAAGUGGCCUCGGACUCAUCGGAGCCGUCAGGACACUCCUCCUCGCCGUCACACUUCCACCGUUCGUGGAUGCAGUGGCCGUUGUCACAGGGAGAAGAAGACAAAAGGCGGUGAGGAGGAGCAACAAGAAGUCGUAAUGUAUGAAGAACCUGCAGCAGACUCAGGAACAUGGCAGAUGCUGGAGAAGUGGCAGCUACUGUUGUUUUCAGGGUUUGAGUCUUAAUUAGAAGCUGAAGGAAUGGGGUUCUGUGUCCACACAGGGGAAGUAGCAGGCUGAGAGCUCACAGCUGGUUACGGAGCUGAGAUAAGAAUGCAGCAGCCCUAGGCCUCUGAAUUAUUGGGGGCUCAUCUGCAUCAAAUCUGCAUUGAACUCACACAUGCCCUGUUCCUGCUGGACCAAGCAUCCAGGACCCGCUACAGAACAAGGUGAGGAAGAGAGCACUGGGCAGGGAGUCCGGAGGUCUGGAUUUGAGUCACUGCUGUGCUAUUUUGCUCUGUAUCCUCAAGCAUAUCAUGGCCCUUUUCCGGCCUACAGUUUCUUCAUCAGGAAAAGAGAGGGUGAUCUGGUGAGAGAUAAGCUUUCAGGUGUGGUAGCUCGAGAUCAGGAGGCCCAGAAAUGAAGAUGGCAGGGGGGUCUCUUUUCAGCCUAAAAGAGGAUACCUCAGCACAGCAGUGACUUACCCCAGGCCUUGGGGCGCUCAGACCACCAAAGUCCUCUCCUGGAAUGAGCUUGGGAUGGAUUUAACAUCAGGGGCCACUAGGAUGUGGCCUCUCCCCAGGGGCUUAGAAGUCCCGUGGCCCCAGCCUGCCCCGCUCCCUCAUCUUCCCCUCCUCAUACUUCCCAAUCUAGCCCCACCUCAACUGCCGGUAGGUCCUCAUAUACUCCAUGCUUUUUAUACCAUCAUACCUUGCCCAAGCUGUCUUUAGUCUGAAAGCCCCUUCCCCCACCUCUCGCCUUCUUUCCAUUACACACUGGGCUUAAGUAUCA